rnacentral:ncRNA from 1 species
UAUUUUCAGGGCGGGGUGAAAUUCCCCACCGGCAGUAAGAGGGUUGAGUUCCUUAAAGUCUGCGACCCGCAAAGGCUCUUUGCGGCUGAAUCGGUGAAAUUCCGAUACCGACGGUUAAAGUCCGGAUGAGAGAAAAUG